GAUGAACGCUGGCGGCGUGCUUAACACAUGCAAGUCGAACGGAAAGGCCGAAGCUUGCUUCGGUACUCGAGUGGCGAACGGGUGAGUAACACGUGGGUGAUCUGCCCUGUACUUCGGGAUAAGCUUGGGAAACUGGGUCUAAUACCGGAUAUGACGAUCUCUUGGAUGGGGUUGUGGAAAGCUUUUGCGGAAUGGGAUGAGCUCGCGGCCUAUCAGCUUGUUGGUGGGGUAAUGGCCUACCAAGGCGUCGACGGGUAGCCGGCCUGAGAGGGUGUACGGCCACAUUGGGACUGAGAUACGGCCCAGACUCCUACGGGAGGCAGCAGUGGGGAAUAUUGCACAAUGGGCGCAAGCCUGAUGCAGCGACGCCGCGUGGGGGAUGACGGCCUUCGGGUUGUAAACUCCUUUCGCAAUCGACGAAGCCUUUUGGUGACGGUAGGUUGAGAAGAAGCACCGGCUAACUACGUG
rnacentral:rRNA from 1 species